UGCCCUACGGGAGGCAGCAGUGAGGAAUAUUGGUCAAUGGGCGGGAGCCUGAACCAGCCAAGUCGCGUGAGGGAAGACGGUCCUAUGGAUUGUAAACCUCUUUAGGCGGGGAGCAAUGCCGGGCACGUGUGCCCGGAGGGAGAGUACCCGCAGAAUAAGCAUCGGCUAACUCCGUGCCAGCAGCCGCGGUAAUACGGAGGAUGCGAGCGUUAUCCGGAUUUAUUGGGUUUAAAGGGUGCGUAGGCGGAUUUUUAAGUCAGCGGUAAAAUGACUGGGUUCAACCCGGGCCGGCCGUGGAAACGGGG
rnacentral:rRNA from 1 species